rnacentral:rRNA from 1 species
AGAACGAACGCUGGCGGCAGGCUUAACACAUGCAAGUCGAACGCGUGUAGCAAUACACGAGUGGCGCACGGGUGAGUAACGCGUGGAUAUCUGCCUUUUGGUUCGGAAUAACCCCGGGAAACUGGGGCUAAUACCGGAUGGUUCCUACGGGAUAAAGAUUUAUCGCCAAAAGAUGAGUCCGCGUCCGAUUAGCUAGUUGGUGGGGUAAUGGCCUACCAAGGCGACGAUCGGUAGCUGGUCUGAGAGGACGAUCAGCCACACUGGGACUGAGACACGGCCCAGACUCCUACGGGAGGCAGCAGUGGGGAAUAUUGGACAAUGGGGGCAACCCUGAUCCAGCCAUGCCGCGUGAGUGAUGAAGGCCUUCGGGUUGUAAAGCUCUUUUGGCGGGGACGAUGAUGACGGUACCCGCAGAAUAACGCCCGGUUAACUUCGCGCCAGCAGCCGC